rnacentral:misc_RNA from 1 species
GAAGUGCGAUAAGUAAUGUGAAUUGCAGAAUUCCGUGAAUCAUCGAAUCUUUGAACGCAAAUUGCACUCUUUGGUAUUCCGAAGAGUAUGCCUGUUUGAGGGUCAGUCAAAUAAAAAUCGGGGUUGUUGCUGCCUUCGGUGGUGACGCUUCGGAACUGGGUCGUCUUUGCCUUCGGUUAAGUGACCUAAAAUUUCGGAUGAUUUUUCGAACGUAUUUAAUUUUUUUAUGUACGUUUGUAUAUCGAAUAUUAGAUGCGGUCAUUUCCAUGAUUCGCGUCUAUAAUUUUCAUCAAAUGACCUCAAAUCAGGUAAGAGUACCCGCUGAACUUAA